GAUUCAGUGGUUGGUGGUGCAUGGCCGUUCUUAGUUCGUGGAGUGAUCUGUCUGGUUAAUUCCGAUAACGAACGAGACUCUUGCCUGCUAAAUAGACGGCGCCGCUGCUUGGCACGGCGACCGCACAGCUUCUUAGAGGGACAAACGGCUUUUAGCCGAGUGGAAGCGGAGAGCAAUAACAGGUCAGUGAUGCCCUCAGAUGUUCGGGGCCGCACGCGCGCUACACUGUCUGCCUCAGCGUGUGCGCCUUCGCCUGACGGCGCGGGCAAUCCGUUGAACCGCAGACGUGCUAGGGCUCGGAGAUUGCAAUUGUUCUCCGUCAACGAGGAAUUCCUUGUACUUGUGAGUCAUCAGCUCGCGGGGAAUCUGUCCCUGCCCUUUGUACACACCGCCCGUCGCUACUACCGAUUGAGUGGUUUAGUGAGGCUCACGGACUGCGAGCGGCACACGGCGGCCCACGGGUCGCCGCGCCGCGAGCGGAAAGUG
rnacentral:rRNA from 1 species